rnacentral:misc_RNA from 1 species
ACGAGUUAGGGCCUCUGGCCCGAACCUCCAACCCUUUGUAUCAAAACCUCGUUGCCUCGGGGAGGCCCUGCCUCACGGCUGGCCCCCCGAUGGACCACUAAACUCUGCAUCUGUAUGACGUCUGAGUAAAGAUUUUAAAUCAAAUCA